rnacentral:rRNA from 1 species
GGUUCGGUUGACCGGUCUCGGGCCGGGAGUUCACAACCCUUUGUUGUCCGACUCUGUUGCCUCCGGGGCGACCCUGCCUCCGGGCGGGGGCCCCGGGUGGACAUUUCAAACUCUUGCGUAACUUUGCAGUCUGAGUAAAUUUAAUUAAUAAAUUAAAACUUUCAACAACGGAUCUCUUGGUUCUGGCAUCGAUGAAGAACGCAGCGAAAUGCGAUAAGUAAUGUGAAUUGCAGAAUUCAGUGAAUCAUCGAAUCUUUGAACGCACAUUGCGCCCCCUGGUAUUCCGGGGGGCAUGCCUGUUCGAGCGUCAUUUCACCACUCAAGCCUCGCUUGGUAUUGGGCGACGCGGUCCGCCGCGCGCCUCAAAUCGACCGGCUGGGUCUUUCGUCCCCUCAGCGUUGUGGAAACUAUUCGCUAAAGGGUGCCGCGGGAGGCCACGCCGUAAAACAACCCCAUUUCUAAGGUUGACCUCGGAUCAGGUAGGGAUACCCGCUGAACUUAAGCAUAUCAAUAAGCGGAGGAAACCCUACAUUUUUGA